UACGAAGGGGGCUAGCGUUGUUCGGAAUUAUUGGGCGUAAAGAGCUCGUAGGCGGUCUGUCGCGUCUGCUGUGAAAACUCAGGGCUUAACCCUGAGCUUGCAGUGGGUACGGGCAGACUAGAGUGCGGUAGGGGAGACUGGAAUUCCUGGUGUAGCGGUGAAAUGCGCAGAUAUCAGGAGGAACACCGGUGGCGAAGGCGGGUCUCUGGGCCGUAACUGACGCUGAGGAGCGAAAGCAUGGGGAGCGAACAGG
rnacentral:rRNA from 1 species